UACGUAGGGUGCGAGCGUUAAUCGGAAUUACUGGGCGUAAAGCGUGCGCAGGCGGUUUUGCAAGCCGGAUGUGAAAUCCCCGGGCUCAACCUGGGAAUGGCAUUUGGGACUGCAAGGCUCGAGUGCGGCAGAGGAGACUGGAAUACUUGGUGUAGCAGUGAAAUGCGUAGAUAUCAAGUGGAACACCAGUGGCGAAGGCGAGUCUCUGGACAUUUCCUGACGCUGAGGCACGAAAGCCAGGGGAGCAAACGGG
rnacentral:rRNA from 1 species